rnacentral:piRNA from 1 species
UGUGAAUUUGAAGCUGACUGUACCAC